rnacentral:rRNA from 1 species
AGAGUUUGAUCCUGGCUCAGGAUGAACGCUGGCGGCGUGCCUAACACAUGCAAGUCGAGCGAAGCGAUGUUAAGGAAGUUUUCGGAUGGAAUUAAGAUUGACUUAGCGGCGGACGGGUGAGUAACGCGUGGGUAACCUGCCUUAUACAGGGGGAUAACAGUUAGAAAUGACUGCUAAUACCGCAUAAGCGCACGGGAACGCAUGUUUCUGUGUGAAAAACUGAGGUAGUAUAAGAUGGACCCGCGUCUGAUUAGCUGGUUGGUGGGGUAACGGCCUACCAAGGCGACGAUCAGUAGCCGGCCUGAGAGGGUGACCGGCCACAUUGGGACUGAGACACGGCCCAAACUCCUACGGGAGGCAGCAGUGGGGAAUAUUGCACAAUGGGGGAAACCCUGAUGCAGCGACGCCGCGUGAGUGAAGAAGUAUUUCGGUAUGUAAAGCUCUAUCAGCAGGGAAGAAGCAAGACGGUACCUGACUAAGAAGCCCCGGCUAACUACGUGCCAGCAGCCGCGGUAAUACGUAGGGGGCAAGCGUUAUCCGGAUUUACUGGGUGUAAAGGGAGCGUAGACGGUAUGGCAAGUCUGAAGUGAAAGCCCAGGGCUUAACCCUGGGACUGCUUUGGAAACUGUUAGACUAGAGUGCUGGAGAGGUAAGUGGAAUUCCUAGUGUAGCGGUGAAAUGCGUAGAUAUUAGGAGGAACACCAGUGGCGAAGGCGGCUUACUGGACAGUAACUGACGUUGAGGCUCGAAAGCGUGGGGAGCAAACAGGAUUAGAUACCCUGGUAGUCCACGCUGUAAAC